GAAUAAGGACCGGCUAAUUCCGUGCCAGCAGCCGCGGUAAUACGGAAGGUCCGGGCGUUAUCCGGAUUCAUUGGGUUUAAAGGGAGCGUAGGCCGCGCGUCAAGCGUGCCGUGAAAUGCCGUGGCUCAACCAUGGCACCGCGGCGCGAACUGUCGCGCUUGAGUGGGCUCGAGGCAGGCGGAAUUCGUGGUGUAGCGGUGAAAUGCUUAGAUAUCACGAGGAACCCCGAUUGCGAAGGCAGCCUGCCAGCGCCGCACUGACGCUGAAGCUCGAAGGCGUGGGUAUCGAACAGGAUUAGAUACCCUGGUAGUCCACGCGGUAAACGAUGGACGCUCGCCGUGGGUCCUAUAUGGUUCCGUGGCCAAGCGAAAGCGUUAAGCGUCCCACCUGGGGAGUACGCCGGCAACGGUGAAACUCAAAGGAAUUGACGGGGGCCCGCACAAGCGGAGGAACAUGUGGUUUAAUUCGAUGAUACGCGAGGAACCUUACCCGGGCUUGAACUCGGGAGGAAGGAGGCGGAGACGCCUUCGCCCCUUCGGGGGCCUCCUGGGAGGUGCUGCAUGGUUGUCGUCAGCUCGUGCCGUGAGGUGUCGGCUUAAGUGCCAUAACGAGCGCAACCCCCCUCCACGGUUGCCAUCGGGUGACGCCGGGCACUCCGUGGACACUGCCGCCGCAAGGUGCGAGGAAGGCGGGGAUGACGUCAAAUCAGCACGGCCCUUACGUCCGGGGCUACACACGUGUUACAAUGGCCGGCACAGCGAGCCGGUCGGCGGCGACGCCGAUCCAAUCCUGAAAACCGGCCUCAGUUCGGACUGGGGUCUGCAACCCGACCCCACGAAGCUGGAUUCGCUAGUAAUCGCGCAUCAGCCAUGGCGCGGUGAAUACGUUCCCGGGCCUUGUACACACCGCCCGUCAAGCCAUGAAAGCCGGGGGCGCCUGAAGUCCGUGACCGCGAGGGUCGGCCUAGGGCGAUACCGGUGAUUGGGGCUAAGUCGUAACAAGGUAGCCGUACCGGAAGGUGCGGCUG
rnacentral:rRNA from 1 species